rnacentral:misc_RNA from 1 species
UACGGAGGGUGCUAGCGUUAAUCGGAAUUACUGGGCGUAAAGCGCACGUAGGCGGCGUAUACAGUCAGGGGUGAAAGGCCUGGGCUCAACCCGGGAACUGCCUUUGAUACUGAUAUGCUUGAGUACGGGAGAGGGUAGUGGAAUUCCCAGUGUAGAGGUGAAAUUCGUAGAUAUUGGGAAGAACACCGGUGGCGAAGGCGGCUACCUGGCUCGGAACUGACGCUGAGGCACGAAAGCGUGGGUAGCAAACAGG